UGCAGUCGAGCGGACAGAAGGGAGCUUGCUCCCGGAUGUUAGCGGCGGACGGGUGAGUAACACGUGGGUAACCUGCCUGUAAGACUGGGAUAACUCCGGGAAACCGGAGCUAAUACCGGAUAGUUCCUUGAACCGCAUGGUUCAAGGAUGAAAGACGGUUUCGGCUGUCACUUACAGAUGGACCCGCGGCGCAUUAGCUAGUUGGUGGGGUAAUGGCUCACCAAGGCGACGAUGCGUAGCCGACCUGAGAGGGUGAUCGGCCACACUGGGACUGAGACACGGCCCAGACUCCUACGGGAGGCAGCAGUAGGGAAUCUUCCGCAAUGGACGAAAGUCUGACGGAGCAACGCCGCGUGAGUGAUGAAGGUUUUCGGAUCGUAAAGCUCUGUUGUUAGGGAAGAACAAGUGCGAGAGUAACUGCUCGCACCUUGACGGUACCUAACCAGAAAGCCACGGCUAACUACGUGCCAGCAGCCGCGGUAAUACGUAGGUGGCAAGCGUUGUCCGGAAUUAUUGGGCGUAAAGGGCUCGCAGGCGGUUUCUUAAGUCUGAUGUGAAAGCCCCCGGCUCAACCGGGGAGGGUCAUUGGAAACUGGGAAACUUGAGUGCAGAAGAGGAGAGUGGAAUUCCACGUGUAGCGGUGAAAUGCGUAGAGAUGUGGAGGAACACCAGUGGCGAAAGGCGACUCUCUGGUCUGUAACUGACGCUGAGGAGCGAAAGCGUGGGGAGCGAACAGGAUUAGAUACCCUGGUAGUCCAC
rnacentral:rRNA from 1 species